CAGGCCCGAUUGUUUUUAAUCCUUUCCUGCUUAAAAAUAUAAAUAAAUGAAAAAUAAAUAAACCAUGAUGAUGAGUCAUAAUGCUCCUUUCUGAGCAUGAAUGGGGCGCAGAGCAGUGAACUUGGUUGUGAACCCUGUGUUGUUGAUGAAUGUUCUGUAUUGUCUUUUGCAUUAGGUUUGUAAAGAAAGUUGUGUGUUCUGAAUGGU